AGAGAUCAUGGCUCAGAAUCAACGCUGGCGGCGUGCCUCAGACAUGCAAGUCGAACGAUUAAAGCUCCCUUCGGGGAGUGCAUAAAGUGGCGCACGGGUGAGUAACACGUAAGUAAUCUGCCUUCGAGUGGGGAAUAACCCGGGGAAACCCGAGCUAAUACCGCAUAAUGCAGCGGCACCUAAUGGUGACAGUUGUUAAAGGAGCAAUCCGCUUGAAGAGGAGCUUGCGGCAGAUUAGCUUGUUGGUAAGGUAACGGCUUACCAAGGCUACGAUCUGUAUCCGGUCUAAGAGGACGGUCGGACACACUGACACUGAAUAACGGGUCAGACUCCUACGGGAGGCAGCAGUCGGGAAUUUUGGGCAAUGGGGGAAACCCUGACCCAGCAACGCCGCGUGAAGGAUGAAGUAUUUCGGUAUGUAAACUUCGAAAGAAUAGGAAGAAUUAAUGACGGUACUAUUUAUAAGGUCCGGCUAACUACGUGCCAGCAGCCGCGGUAAUACGUAGGGACCAAGCGUUGUUCGGAUUUACUGGGCGUAAAGGGCGCGUAGGCGGCGCGGUAAGUCACUUGUGAAAUCUCUGAGCUCAACUCAGAACGGCCAAGUGAUACUGCAGUGCUAGAGUGUGGAAGGGGCAAUCGGAAUUCUUGGUGUAGCGGUGAAAUGCGUAGAUAUCAAGAGGAACACCUGAGGUGAAGACGGGUUGCUGGGCCAACACUGACGCUGAGGCGCGAAAGCCAGGGGAGCAAACGGGAUUAGAUACCCCGGUAGUCCUGGGCCCUAAACGAUGAAUACUUGGUGUCUGGAGUUUUAAUGCUCCCGGGUGCCGUCGCUAACGUUUUUAGUAUUUCCGGCUUGGGGAGUACGCUCGCAAGAGUGAAACUCAAAGGGAAUUGA
rnacentral:rRNA from 1 species